AACCUCCGCAAUGUGAGAAAUCGCGACGGGGGGAUCCCAAGUGCCAUUCUUAACGGGAUGGCUUUUCAUUAGUGUAAAGAGCUUUUGGAAUAAGAGCUGGGCAAGACCGGUGCCAGCCGCCGCGGUAACACCGGCAGCUCUAGUGGUAACAAUUUUUAUUGGGCCUAAAGCGUCCGUAGCCGGUUUAAUAAGUCUCUGGUGAAAUCCUGUAGCUUAACUAUGGGAAUUGCUGGAGAUACUAUUAGACUUGAGACCGGGAGAGGUUAGAGGUACUCCCAGGGUAGAGGUGAAAUUCUGUAAUCCUGGGAGGACCGCCUGUUGCGAAGGCGUCUAACUGGAACGGUUCUGACGGUGAGGGACGAAAGUUAGGGGCGCGAACCGGAUUAGAUACCCGGGUAGUCCUAACUGUAAACGAUGCGGACUUGGUGUUGGGGUGGCUUUGAGCUGUCUCAGUGCCGAAGGGAAGCUGUUAAGUCCGCCGCCUGGGAAGUACGGUCGCAAGACUGAAACUUAAGGAAUU
rnacentral:rRNA from 1 species